rnacentral:rRNA from 1 species
ACGCUGGCGGCAGGCCUAACACAUGCAAGUCGAGCGGUAGAGAGAAGCUUGCUUCUCUUGAGAGCGGCGGACGGGUGAGUAAUGCCUAGGAAUCUGCCUGGUAGUGGGGGAUAACGUUCGGAAACGGACGCUAAUACCGCAUACGUCCUACGGGAGAAAGCAGGGGACCUUCGGGCCUUGCGCUAUCAGAUGAGCCUAGGUCGGAUUAGCUAGUUGGUGAGGUAAUGGCUCACCAAGGCGACGAUCCGUAACUGGUCUGAGAGGAUGAUCAGUCACACUGGAACUGAGACACGGUCCAGACUCCUACGGGAGGCAGCAGUGGGGAAUAUUGGACAAUGGGCGAAAGCCUGAUCCAGCCAUGCCGCGUGUGUGAAGAAGGUCUUCGGAUUGUAAAGCACUUUAAGUUGGGAGGAAGGGCAGUUACCUAAUACGUGAUUGUUUUGACGUUACCGACAGAAUAAGCACCGGCUAACUCUGUGCCAGCAGCCGCGGUAAUACAGAGGGUGCAAGCGUUAAUCGGAAUUACUGGGCGUAAAGCGCGUGUAGGUGGUUAGUUAAGUUGGAUGUGAAAUCCCCGGGCUCAACCUGGGAACUGCAUUCAAAACUGACUGACUAGAGUAUGGUAGAGGGUGGUGGAAUUUCCUGUGUAGCGGUGAAAUGCGUAGAUAUAGGAAGGAACACCAGUGGCGAAGGCGACCACCUGGACUGAUACUGACACUGAGGUGCGAAAGCGUGGGGAGCAAAC